rnacentral:lncRNA from 1 species
CCUCGAAUUUUAAAAGUCUCAUUUAAGUAUUUCUUUUGGUUUUCCUUGUAUAAAUAUAGCUAACUUUUAAACAUUUCUUUUCCGGCUUGUGUUGUUUGCUUUGGACCCUUCAGCACCUAUUUUUAAACGUUAAGCAUUCCCCAGUCAGCAUGAAAGUUUUACUGUUAGUUUUAUUUUGUUCCUAUAAUUUUGAUUCCCCCCAGAAACUGCCACAGAUGAAAUCAAGCCAAUAGAAUUGAAAGCAAAGAUCACCUGGUGGCCAUGAAGCCGACCAUCCUUAGGCAGAAACUCCUUACCUGAGGAAUUUAGAGAUUACAAUGAUUCCACCUACAGAUGAUUAUGUAAUCCCAAUACCAGCCUGCAACAGCAACUUCCACAUAUAUGGGGCCUCUUGAUGGAAUCCGGUGUCUCCUGUCCCCACGCCAUCUGCAAUCAAUUGUGACUGCACUGACCUGCAUAAAAUUCACACGUGUGGACUGGAUCAAAAGACUCAUCUACAAAAAAGGAGAACAGAAGUGACAGUAUGUAACUUUGGAUAGUAGGCUGUUGGAUGACAACUCUCCAUGGGUCUCUUGAGUUUGUGAAGUUUUGCAAGAGUCACUGCCUACCCUUUGUUCUAAAUUACAAGGAUUAUACAGUGAACAACCUUGAAAGAUAAAGAUAGUUUCUUCUUCUGGAGCAAAGGGCAGGUUUGCUCACAGUCUUAGAUGAUGGAGACAGUACCUCCCUGCAAAGCAAAGGGCAGGCAUGCCUGUUACUCAUAAAAUAUUUGGGUUUCCUAAGCUGGGUACUCCUCUCCUGUUACAGAACUCAUGGCAUAUGUAGGUAUCCAUGUAGGCCCAUCUAUGGGACUUAGGAGCAAGAGGAAAUGAUGCAAAUACGUAGAUAAUCAUGCUGUUUGGUGUACCACAAAUAAUGAAGUCCUCUGUCUCCGACACAGGAGUCUUGUGUCUUAUGCUACCAUCUAUGAAACUGUGGCAGGUUAGCUUGUAGCUUGCAAUAGGGUAAAAUCUCAGACUCUUCACAGUUCUUGCUUGAUAUAGGUCACAAAAGACCCUGCAGCUUCCUCCUUGCUUUUUCUUUCUUGGAUCACUCAUUCUGGGAGAAAUUAGCUGUCAGUCAUGUCAUGAAGACACUUAACCAACCUAUGGAGAGGCCCAUGUGGUGAAAUGAGGCUUCCACCCAACAGGUAUUUGAGUGAGCCAUCUAGCAAAAGGAUCCUCUAGCUCCAGCAAGCUAUCACGUAGGUGACUAAAGUUUCUGACAACAUCUUGACUCCAACUAUGUGGAAAAACUGAGUCACAUGAAAAUUCCCGAGCCAGGACCAUCCAGCUAAACCUCUCUGAAAUUUCUGACCCACAGAUAUUAAGAUACUAUUUUCUGUUUUAAGCCAUUAGGUCCAGGGAUAAUUUAUUCUAUAGCAACAGAUAACUAAUGUAAUAUUCAACCAGAGGAUCUGGUUUGUCACACCAGUAAACUGAAGCAAAAUUCUUGUCAAGAAGCUCUAAAACAGGAUUCCCAGGAGAUCCUUAUAUUGCAAGUUUCCUGGAUAAAGCU